GGCGCUGUGGCUUAGUUGGUUAAAGCGACUGUUGUAAACAGGAGAUCCUGAGUUCGAAUCAGCAGUGCCA